rnacentral:rRNA from 1 species
UACGUAGGUGGCAAGCGAUACUCGGAAUCACUAGGCGUAAAGCGCAGGUAGGCGGUUUGGUAAGUCUUUUGUGAAAGCUCCCGGCUCAACUGGGAGAGGUCAAGGGAAACUACCGGACUAGAGUGUGGUAGGGGAUACUGGAAUUCCUGGUGUAGCGGUGAAAUGCGUAGAUAUCAGGAGGAAUACCUAUGGCGAAAGCAGGUAUCUGGGCCAUCACUGACGCUGAGCUGCGAAAGCUAGGGGAGCAAACAGG